UGCGAAAACAGGUGAGCAAUUCAGUCGUUGCGUACCACAUCGUUUGAUGUGGGUAAACUCGUGCAGCGCUCUCUAGCAUUUCUCGGUUUUGGUGGUUUUUUACUUUUGUUAGAUACCUAUCUGUAGUUAUUGUGCGAUUUGCCGAUUCUUAACAUUUAAACAUUCUAGGUGAAAGGGACAGCUGAGCUCCGAUUUCACUAUGACUGUUUCAAUUCCACCAAAAUGCGAUGUUUCUAAAACGGAUACAAACGACAACGAAACUUGCUGUACAAAUAAG